rnacentral:rRNA from 1 species
UGUGGCGGCUAUACUGGCAUUGUCCCACCUGUUCCCAUUUCGAACACAGAAGUGAAAUAUGCUAAGGCCGAUGAUAGUGACUUGGUCGCAAAAGUAGGUAGCCGCCACAA